CUUUCUAAUUCAGCACUUAAUAUUAAUUUAAAUUUAAUUUUUAACAAUUCUAAUUAAAAUUAAGCUUAAAUUGUAAUUCAAUUGUAUAAGCCAAGGUUCAAGUUAAUACAGUUCUAAGUUCAAAUAAUUCUAACUUGAUGCAUCUUCAACAUUCACAACUAAUCAAUGUAAUCGAUUUAGAAUUCAAAACUAAUUAAAAUUCAAUUAAUUAAAGAUUCAACAUUUCAAAAGGUUAAUCA
rnacentral:lncRNA from 1 species